rnacentral:rRNA from 1 species
AUUGAACGCUGGCGGCAGGCUUAACACAUGCAAGUCGAACGAGUGGCGGACGGGUGAGUAAUGCUUGGGAAUCUGGCUUAUGGAGGGGGAUAACGACGGGAAACUGUCGCUAAUACCGCGUACAAUAGGAUGAGCACAAGGGGGAGUAGGUAGUUGGUGGGGUAAUGGCCUACCAAGCCGGCGAUCUCUAGCUGGUCUGAGAGGAUGACCAGCCACUCCGGGACGGGGACACGCCCCGGAAUCCUACGUGAGGCACCGGUGGGGAAUCUUGCGCAAUGGGGGCUACCUGACGCAGCCAUGCCGCGUGAAUGAAGAGGGCCUUCGGGUUGUAAAGUUCUUUCGGUGACGGGGCGGUACUCACAGAAGAAGCACCGGCUAACUCCGUGCCAGCAGCCGCGGUAAUAC